rnacentral:rRNA from 1 species
UACGUAGGGGGCAAGCGUUGUCCGGAUUUAUUGGGCGUAAAGCGCACGUAGGCGGCUUAGCAAGUUGGAUGUGAAAUCCCUCGGCUCAACCAAGGAAGUGCAUCCAAAACUGCUGAGCUUGAGUACUUAAGAGGAUCGCGGAAUUCCCGGUGUAGAGGUGAAAUUCGUAGAUAUUGGGAAGAACACCGGUGGCGAAGGCGGCGACCUGGUCCAUUACUGACGCUGAGGCGCGACAGCGUGGGGGAGCAAACAGG